AUAUGCCAAGACCCUCUUGAGGAGCCCCGAAGGGCAGCCCAGAGCCCUCCUGGUGGGCCCAGGGCACCUUGAAGUCCCAGGGACCCGCCGUUUCUGCCUGGCUCCCUUCGGGAAGGGUGGGUCAACCUGGGGUGCAGCCGAGCCACCAUCGUGAUCUGCUGAGGUGUCCCCACCAAGAGGGUUAGCUGGUGUGCUGUCAGGCCCUAAGGACCCUGAGAGGCCUGGUGGGAGCACCUUUGUCCAGCCAGAUGAGCAGCUCUGGGACCUUGUCUGACGAAUGGUGGGACUGCAGGGACCAGAGGCAGAUGGGGCUUCUAACCCUGUGCUGGGACUCCCUUGCCCUGCUCAAACGGCUCCUCCCAUGCCCACGGUCCCCACAGAGCCCCCUUUCUACUGACCCUGAGGCUCUGGGAUGCCUCCAUCCUGGAGGGUGGGCAUACGCUCACAGCUAUGGCCUCCACCGUCCUCAAGGUGCACAGGAGUAAGCGGGCCUGAGUGUGGAGCACAGGCCACGGAGGAGGGAGUGCCAGCCGCAUGAAGGCGGUCAGGGUGCCCUGUGAGCACCUCCUGACGCUGCCCCUGGAAGGCUGCAGGAAUUCCUGCAGGACGUGCUGUCCCAGGCCGGGGCCCUGGAGGACGGCACAGUGUGCAUGCAGCUGCAGGCCUCCGUGGCUGAGCUACCUAGGAUGAAGUAUGAGCUGCCCCUGCGCAAGUGGGCUCAGCCCUGGUCUCCCCAUGAGUCACCCUCUCAGGCAGUAGGGGGUGGGCGAGUCCUGGGCUUUCCCCUUACCCCUGGCCAUUUGCUCUUCUGGGCAGCCACCACAGAGCCCAGAGAUUGGCGGCCUAGAGGGCUGUUCUCAUAGCUGGGCCGCCUCUGCCAUGCCUGGCCCCACGGGCCCACCUUGUGCAGACCACAGAGAUACAAUUCCCUCCCAAACUUCCUAGUGAUCUGUGAGGCCCCAGGCAGGUGGCCCCCAGACCUCGGCUUUGAGCCGGAAUGCUGGGUCCCUUCCCCUUCAGUCCCUGCCUGGGCCACCCCCAGGGCCACACGACAGGCCUGACUCCGUGACCCCGCCGAGGCCCCGGCAACCAGCUCCACCCAGUCUGCUGAAGACGGCGCCACUGGGCCCAGGACACCCCUCCUGCCCUGAGGCAGCUGAAGCCAGCAUCCCUCCCAUGAGUGACCAGCACCAGCACAGCCAUGAUGGAGCCAGGACAGCACCCCAAGAGCUGCGUCAAGACCCCACACAACCGCAUGACCCCCUGAGCUCUGUGUCCAUAGGGAGCCUGGACGUUCAGGGGCCUCCAGAGGAUGAGGUGACUGUGAGCACAGGGACCCCGAGGCUCCCGGGGACCCCGAGGUCCCCAGAAGCCAGCAGCAUGCCCUGCUUUUUCACGCUGAGCUUCUUGGAGGAUGGACCCUACCCCUACCCCCAUAUAGCACAAGUCCCUGACUCCAAAGGGCCUGAAUUUGGGCUCCAGGAGAGCAGAGGCUGUGUGAGCACCCCCCAGCCUGGACUGUGACUAAAGGGGCUGCCCCGGCCAGUCAGGAACGCUGGCUCAAGGCAAGGCGAGCCCUCUCGGAGCUGUAUGUGGUCUCCUACAGCCUGAGCAUGCCCCACAAGGUCCCUUUGGUGACCUGAGGAGCCUCUGGGAGCAACAGGCCACCUCCACCCUCACACGCAUAAGGAGGCGGGGCUAGAGCAGAGGGUGCCGCUGUUUGGGCAGACGCAACACACUGUGUCCAAGUCAGUGACUGCCUUUUGGGGCCCCUAAAUCUCAGCAAAUACAGCCCCACCUGGGGUCCAACGGGGUUCCCUGCCCCCCCAGCCAUUCGCUAUGAAGGUCUCCCUCCAGGGGACGGGCAGACUUUGGUUUCAGUUUCCCCCCUUGCUGGUUAAAGGUUAAUACAUUUUCGUGCAUUAAGUACUAGACUGGCUGGUUCUUGUGGCACCCAGACGUCUCCGAAGGAUGCUCUCAGGGCCCCCAGAGGCAAAGGGGGCACCAGCUGGACAAAACUGAGGUUCCCAGCUGCCUUGUGGGAGGCUACAGGCACUGCAGACUCUGAGCUUCAGCCAAACCCCAGG
ensembl:lncRNA